rnacentral:rRNA from 1 species
AUUGAACGCUGGCGGCAUGCCUAACACAUGCAAGUCGAACGGCAGCACGGGAGCUUGCUCCUGGUGGCGAGUGGCGGACGGGUGAGUAAUGCAUAGGAAUCUGCCCAGUAGCGGGGGACAACUUGGGGAAACUCAAGCUAAUACCGCAUGCGCCCUACGGGGGAAAGCGGGGGACCUUCGGGCCUCGCACUAUUGGAUGAGCCUAUGUCAGAUUAGCUUGUUGGUGGGGUAACGGGCCUACCAAGGCGACGAUCUGUAGCUGGUCUGAGAGGACGAUCAGCCACACUGGGACUGAGACACGGCCCAGACUCCUACGGGAGGCAGCAGUGGGGAAUAUUGCACAAUGGGCGAAAGCCUGAUGCAGCAAUGCCGCGUGUGUGAAGAAGGCCUGCGGGUUGUAAAGCACUUUC